CCUGGUGUCUAUGGUGCGGUGGAACCACACUGAUCCCUUCCCGAACUCAGAGGUGAAACGCUGUUGCGGCGACGAUAGUAUGGGGGUUGCCCUAUGUCAAAAU
rnacentral:rRNA from 1 species